UACAGAGCUUUCUUGCUUUUGCUCACUUGAUUGACAGGUUGAUCCCGCCCCCACUCCAGUAAACAGAAGUUUUUAUGAUUAAAGCUUAUGAAGACGCAUGAAUUUACUGUACAUCAUUUGAUUGAUUGUGUGUGUGUGUGUGUCCUGCAGAAGUUUCCGGAGCUGAAGUUUAAGUAUGUGGAGGAAGAGCAGCCUGAGGAUUUCUUCAUCCCGUACGUCUGGUCUCUGGUCUUCAACUCUGGAGUGGGUUUAUACUGGAACUCUCAGGGAAUUGAGCUCUUCAGCAUGGACUCCAACUGAUGGAGGGCUGCUCGAUAAUCUCGGAGCCCCAGUGAAUUGUGGGAAUGCUCUGCUCAGGCUUGGUCUGUAGCUCAAACACUUCGCUGGAUCCAGAGAAUCAUAUCUUCCUUUAUUCUUUCGCUUUCGAUUCAUAAAUGGAGGAGAAAUCAGCCAAAAGCAAACUGAACGUGAACACAAACACACCUCUGACCCUGUUAGGAAUGAUCUGAUGAGCAGAAAUCCGGCACAAAUAAACACAGUGGACUUAU